CCUACGGGUGGCAGCAGUGAGGAAUAUUGGUCAAUGGGCGCGAGCCUGAACCAGCCAAGUCGCGUGAGGGAAGACGGCCCUACGGGUUGUAAACCUCUUUUGCCGGGGAGCAACGGGCGCCACGUGUGGCGCCACUGAGAGUACCCGGAAAAAAAGCAUCGGCUAACUCCGUGCCAGCAGCCGCGGUAAUACGGAGGAUGCGAGCGUUAUCCGGAUUUAUUGGGUUUAAAGGGUGCGUAGGCGGAGCGUUAAGUCAGUGGUAAAAUUGAGGGGCUAAACCCCUUCCCGCCAGUGAAACUGGCGCUCUUGAGUGGAAGAGAAGUAUGCGGAAGGCGUGGUGUAGCGGUGAAAUGCAUAGAUAUCACGCAGAACCCCGAUUGCGAAGGCAGCUUGCCGGCUUCCUACUGACGCUGAAGCACGAAGGCGUGGGGAUCGAACAGGAUUAGAUACCCGGGUAGUC
rnacentral:rRNA from 1 species